rnacentral:rRNA from 1 species
GACAGAGGUCCCAAGCGUUAGGCGGAAUCACUGGGCUUAAAGCGUGUGUAGGCGGAUUUGUAAGUACCUUGUGAAAUCCCACGGCUCAACCGUGGAACUGCUUGGUAUACUGCUUAUCUUGGGUCGUCUAGGGGCGAGCGGAACAAACGGUGGAGCGGUGAAAUGCGUAGAUAUCGUUUUGGAACGCCAAUGGUGAAAAACAGCUCGCUGGGGGACGUACCGACGCUGAGACACGAAAAGCCAGGGGGAGCGAACGGGG